rnacentral:lncRNA from 1 species
AAUCGCAUCAAGUACCGAUAACGAUUUCACAAAUGACAUCUAAAUUAUCAACAGCAUCCUACAAAUUCCAUGGAGCACUCAUGAAUCCUCCUUAAAAUGCAUCUACAGCAAAUAAAUAUGAAAAAUUAAAAACGUGCAAAUGAUUUUUAUAUCACAAUUUGAAAUUUUGCAGAUAGUUUUUAUGCCCAUAAUUUUACCGAAACGAAAUUUUGAUAUUUUAAGCUCCAAAAUCUUUCA